GGGCGGUCGUUGGGGGGGGCGGUGGGAAGGGGCCGAGCUCGCGGCUGCAGCAGCCCUCUGCCCCUACCCCGGCCCUCUGCAGGUCUGCUGGUCGAAGUGACGCGGCGGCUCACUCGUGGCAACAAUCAGCAGGAGCAGGAGACAGCAAGGAUAGGCCCAGAAAAACAACCAGGAAAAAAAAAAUCUCAUCAUGGCAAAUAUUCACCAGGAAAACGAAGAAAUGGAGCAGCCCGUGCAGAACGGAGAGGAAGACCGCCCUUUGGGAGGGGUCGAAGGCCACCAGCCAGCAGCAAAUAAUAGACGGGGACAAGCUCGCCGACUUGCCCCUAAUUUCCGAUGGGCCAUACCCAAUAGGCAGAUCAAUGAUGGGAUGGGUGGAGAUGGAGAUGAUAUGGAAAUGUUCAUGGAGGAGAUGAGAGAAAUCAGGAGAAAACUUAGGGAGCUGCAGUUGAGGAAUUGUCUGCGUAUCCUUAUGGGGGAGCUCUCUAAUCACCAUGACCAUCAUGAUGAAUUUUGCCUUAUGCCUUGACUCCUGCCAUUUUCCAUGAGGUUAAUACUGUGAUUCCCACUGUUGUCCUCUUUUUCCUUACAUUUUCCUGAUAUGCCUUUACUGAUCCAUUUGCUGUGAACCUUAUGUAAUUUCCAUGUGUCAGGUGGGUUCUGUGUUACCAGCUUCUAAUUGGAGAUUGCCUUGGCACCCAAAGUUUCUGUCAACAGUAGAGUUUCACCCAUUUGCAUGGAAAAAUGUAAAGUCAAUAAAGCAAUUAAAAAGCAAUCUAUACGUUUAUCUUGUCUCAUUAAAAAUAGAACCU
rnacentral:lncRNA from 1 species